CAGUAGCCGCGGGAAUACGGAGGGGGCUAGCGCUGUUCGGAAUUACUGGGCGUAAAGCGCACGUAGGCGGCUUGGUAAGUUAGAGGUGAAAGCCUGGAGCUCAACUCCAGAAUUGCCUUUAAGACUGCCGAGCUAGCAGGUGAGAGAGGUAAGUGGAAUUCCGAGUGUAGAGGUGAAAUUCGUAGAUAUUCGGAAGAACACCGGUGGCGAAGGCGGCUUACUGGCUCAUACUGGACGCUGAGGUGCGAAAGCGUGGGGAGCGAACAGGAUUAGAUACCCCCGUAGUCCCUGUCUCUUAUAC
rnacentral:rRNA from 1 species